rnacentral:rRNA from 1 species
AAAUGAAUAGACGGGGGCCCGCACAAGCGGAGGAACAUGUGGUUUAAUUCGAUGAUACGCGAGGAACCUUACCCGGGCUUGAAUUGCAGUUGCAUGAGGCAGAGAUGUCUCUUCCCUUCGGGGCUACUGUGAAGGUGCUGCAUGGUUGUCGUCAGCUCGUGCCGUGAGGUGUCGGCUUAAGUGCCAUAACGAGCGCAACCCUUGCUGUCAGUUGCCAUCAGUUUUAGCUGGGCACUCUGGCGGGACUGCCAUCGCAAGAUGUGAGGAAGGUGGGGAUGACGUCAAAUCAGCACGGCCCUUACGUCCGGGGCUACACACGUGUUACAAUGGGGAGUACAGCGAGUUGCUUAGUGGCGACACUUGGCCAAUCUUUAAAUCUCCUCUCAGUUCGGACUGGAGUCUGCAACCCGACUCCACGAAGCUGGAUUCGCUAGUAAUCGCGCAUCAGCCAUGGCGCGGUGAAUACGUUCCCGGGCCUUGUACACACCGCCCGU